GAUGAACGCUAGCGGCAGGCUUAAUACAUGCAAGUCGUGGGGCAGCAUGAAUGUAGCAAUACAUUGAUGGCGACCGGCAAACGGGUGCGGAACACGUACACAACCUUCCUCUUAGUGGGGAAGAGCCCAGAGAAAUUUGGAUUAAUACCCCAUAAGAUAAUGAGAUGGCAUCAUCUUAUUAUUAAAGCUUCGGCGCUAGAAGAUGGGUGUGCGGCUGAUUAGGUAGUUGGCGGGGUAACGGCCCACCAAGCCUACGAUCAGUAGCUGAUGUGAGAGCAUGAUCAGCCACACGGGCACUGAGACACGGGCCCGACUCCUACGGGAGGCAGCAGUAAGGAAUAUUGGACAAUGGACGCAAGUCUGAUCCAGCCAUGCCGCGUGAAGGAUUAAGGUCCUCUGGAUUGUAAACUUCUUUUAUUUGGGACGAAAAAAGAUCAUUCUUGAUCACUUGACGGUACCAGAUGAAUAAGCACCGGCUAACUCCGUGCCAGCCGCCGCGGUAAAAC
rnacentral:rRNA from 1 species